GUCGGAUACGGGGACAUGAAGCCGAUAACGGUCGGCGGUAAAAUCGUGGGCUCCCUCUGUGCCAUAGCCGGUGUGUUAACCAUAGCUCUGCCCGUCCCGGUCAUUGUGUCCAAC
rfam:Scleropages formosus scaffold8924, whole genome shotgun sequence.